rnacentral:lncRNA from 1 species
CUCAGUAGCUUCUAAAUGCCAUCCAGCUGGGCUAUCUAGGAGUCAUUCUGGACUCUGAGUGUGGCGCUUGGGAGUCGUCCUUCCCUCCCCCUUUCAAGAAGGUGGCCGUGCUCUCUUGUACCUGUGGCUUGAGGGAUUCUUUUGGAACGGGGAGCCCCUGAGAGCAGAAGGUGCCUGAAACCAGUGGCUCAUCCAGUCUUUAAUGAAAGCCCAAGUCCAUUGAAGUGAUGGGUGAUGCUGAGUGUUGCAGGAGAGGUGCAGGUGGGUGAUGCCUGUGGAUACAAGAAGAGGGGCAAGAGGAGGAGAGUUCCUAGGGAAGGGCCUAGAUGCUGGGGGCCUGUGCAGGGCCCCGAGUGGUGGCACCCCCUUAGGGGGAUGGCUGCGUGUGCGCCAUGGAAGGCAGAACCCAUCUUCCAUGCCUCACCUGACCCAGAAGCAAGGAGCUCCAGACUCCAGGGGUCUUGGACUAUGACGAUGUCAUCCUUGACCAUGAGGAGUCAAAGGUUAGAGAAGUACUGACCUUUAGAAAUAUAAUGCAAGCCACAUAUGUAGUUUCAAGUUUUCUAGCUACUAGAAUCUAGUAGCUACGUUAAAAACCAUAAAAGGACAC